rnacentral:rRNA from 1 species
UACAGAGGGUGCAAGCGUUGUUCGGAAUCAUUGGGCGUAAAGGGCGUGUAGGCGGUUUUGUUAAGUCAUGUGUGAAAGCCCUCGGCUCAACCGAGGAAGUGCGUUCGAAACUGCAGAGCUUGAAUACCGGAGAGGGUGGCGGAAUUCCCCAAGUAGAGGUGAAAUUCGUAGAUAUGGGGAGGAACACCGGUGGCGAAGGCGGCCACCUGGACGGUCACUGACGCUGAGACGCGAAAGCGUGGGUAGCAAACAGG